rnacentral:lncRNA from 1 species
AGAAUAACAAGGAAACUGAGGAAGAAGAAAAGGGAAAAGAAAAUGGUUAUUUUUUUCCUUUGACCUUUUCAGUUUUCCUUUUAUCUUCUCUCCUUUUUUCCAAAAAAAUAAUGGAAUCAGACGGUGGUGGCGGUGGUGGAGUAGUUCCUAUACCUUCCCACACCGGUUUAUCUCCGCCGCAUGACGAUGAUCAUCCUGAUUUUUCACCGGUUGGAUCGCCGGAGUCUCAGCCGUCUGAUCAACUCUCCGCUACUCUACUCACCGAUGAUCUUCGUAACAACAUCGUCAAGCAGGUUCCUUUUUUUGUUUUUUGUCGUGUGGGUUUUGUUUGAUUGUGUUUUUGGUUAAUGGGGUUUUUCGUUCUUGGUGAUUUAUUGAGUUUUAGGGUUUAAGCUAAGGAGUUCAAGGUUUUUGAGUGAAGUUUAGUUAGUGGUGUGCAAUUGGAUUGGAUGGGCAGUGUGCUUUUGAAAUUUCUGAAGAAUUUUGCCUAUUGUAGAUAGUGAAAAUUUUCAGUUGGAUUGAUGUGGUAGUUUCUGUAUGUGGAUUGGGUGCAAUUGUAGUAGUUGCUCAGGUGUUCUGUUAAGUUAAGGUUCUUGAUUAGCUGAUUAAUAUUUUAUAGUUAGACACUUUUGCUAUAUAUGGUAGAAAAUGUGGAGGUAUAAUAAAUGGGAAUUGCUUCAUAUGUUUUAAGACUUUUCCAUUUGAUUGUGGUAGACAAAAUCGGUUUUUUAUUUUGUUUCUUUAACAUUGGAUGUCCCUAUCGAGUUCUUCCUAUGGUUCUUAACAAUAUGAGAUGUCCCUUUCGAGUUCUUCCUGUGGUUCUUAAUUAUAUGAAUAGAACUUGAGAAAAAGAUUGAAAUUUUCUAACUUGUUUGGGAUAGUAUAGGUUUGUUCAUUUAUUGCAGUGGUUCUUGCAAAGAAACUUUAGUGAUAGCCUUGAAAAGAUCUUCUGCAUCUAUCAGAAUGGCAAAUGCAUUAUUUUCACUGUCUUGCAGAUACCUUUCCUUAAGUGAAGUUGUACAGAGUACAGACUUAGUUAAUGAGCAUUUGUUUCGCACAUACAUCGGUAUCCUCGUAACACCAAUUUGCUAUGUACAACCUUCAGAUAUUAGAGUUUACCUUCGAGAACUCUAGAGUUUUACUAGUCCUUGGUAGCUGUAGAUUUGCUGCUCUUAGUGUCUAAAUACAACAGAAAACUCCAGCAGAAUCCUUGGCAGCUGGAUUUGAAUUCUAAUCUCAACACUUCUCUUGUUUCUGCCUCUGUCCUAUCUUGCUUAGCAAUUCUCAGUUUCUUCCCAGCAAUGUCUGCUUGUUUUAAAAAAUAUUGUGAUAAAAUUCUCUCAUGGAUUGCUCUAUUAGUAUGCUUCCUGGGUAGCUAUUUAGAGCAAACAAUAUGGUAGACUCUUUAGAAUUUCUACCAAGCACCACAAAUGGGUUUGGUGAUGUUGGAAUUCCUCCUCUUUCGGUAGGUCCCAGGUUCGACCUUGAAAGAGAACAGUCAGCCCUUUAAGCAAAAGGGCACUUUCCUACUAAAAGAUAAACUUUGAAGGACUAAUCACAGCCCAAAAAGACGACUACCUUGGGGAAAAAUACAAAACAGAUUCACAUGCGCACCAGAGCUAUUCCGGAAGAAGAAGUCAAUUAGAAUCCCAAUACUAAUCGCAGCCCAAAAAGACGACUACCUUGGGGAAAAAUACAAAACAGAUUCACAUGCGCACCAAAGCUAUUCCGGAAGAAGAAGUCAAUUAGAAUCCCGAUACUUUAAAUCGAAAACCACUAACUAACACCAUGCAUCAAAAUUUCUAUUAUUGAACUAUUGAUCAUAACAUUUCCAAGACAUAAUCUAAAAAUACAGAGAGAGAAAUAUCAAUCAAGAGAACUCUCACUUUGGAAGGGUAUUUUCCUGCAUAAAGGUGUAUCACCUUAAUAAGUAAAAGUAUACAUUAACAUUAUCCCUUGAGGAUGGGUCCGAGUUAAUCACCUUCCAAGCUCACAACUGCUUGGAAUUCCUUCUCUGCCUCCACAUACCUAGCUCCAACCACGAUGAAGCGCACCACGGUGCCUUUCUCUAUUAUUGGCAUCUUCUCAUUCAUAAAUAAAGGAUUUUCUUCAGGCACAUACUUAUAAUCCACCAUCUUUUGAUGAGAGAGGAAUAUCUUGUCGGUUGGGCCACACCUCAAAAAGAUACCUUGCUUCAAGAUCUUGUGAACAACCCCUUCCAAGGUCUCUCCGCGGAGUAUCUUGAAGGUUACACAGCUGAAUUCUACAGAGAAAAGCACAGCACCAGUGUUUUUUCGAACUAUCCCCUCCCCAAUCUUCUCCAAUGUAGUUACAUACAUAAAGUACUCAAGAUCUUUUGACGCCUUCUUGAAAGUAAAGUCUUGCAAGAGGCGAAUAACAAUUGCCUUCUUAAGCAGUAAACCUUCAAUCUCUAGUUUCUCAGCAGGGAUAGGGAUAAUCACAUUCCAUGACAACUGAUGUGUUGAAUACAUUUUAAAUGACCUGCCACAGCCUACUGUCAUUUGAUUUUGUGACAGGUCAUUUAAAAUGUAUUCAACACAUUAGUUGUCAUGGAAUGUGGGAUUGAUUAUCCCUGCUGAGAAACUUGAGGUUGAAGGUUUACUGCUCAGAAGGCAAUUGUUAUUCGCCUCUUGCAAGUCUUUGCUUUCAAGAAGGCAUCCAAAGAUCUUGGUUACUUUAUGUAUGUAGCUACAUUGGAGAAGAUUGGGGAGGGUAUAGUUCGAAAACACACUGGUGAUGUGCUUUUACCUGUAGAAUUCAGUUGUGUAACCUCCAAGAUACUCCGUGGAGAGACAUUGGAAGGGGUUGUUCACACGAUCUUGAAGCAAGGUGUAUUUUUGAGGUGUGGCCCCACCGACAAGGUAUUCCUCUCUCAUCGGAAGAUGGUGGAUUAUAAUUAUGUGCCUGGAGAAAAUCCUAUCUUUAUGAAUGAGAAGAUGUCAAUAAUUGAGAAAGGCACCAUAUGGUGCGCUUCAUCAUGGUUGGAGCAAGGUAUGUGGAUGCAUUGAAGGAAUUCCAAGCAGUUGUGAGCUUGGAAGGUGAUCACCUCGGAUCCAUCUCAUAAAGUUCUAUUUAGGUUAUUCACCCUCAAGUGAUUAUGUUAAUGUUUUAAGGUGCAACAUGUCUUCGCAGAUACUUUCACUUAUUAAGGUGAUAACCCUUUAUGCAGAAUACCCUUCCAAAGUGAAGAGUUCUCUUGACCGAUAUUUCUCUCUCUGUAUUUUUAGAUUAUGUAUUAGAAAUGUUAUGAUCAGUAGCUCAAUGUUAAUAUCUUAAAUUUAUUAUAUAAGAAUGAUUAAAAGCUGAACUAAAUUGACUGAAAAGGACUCAAAAUAAAAUUUUCUUUUUUUGACUAAAUAGUUUCACUUUGAGUAACCAAACUGAACAAAAAAAAUAAAUAAUAAUUUCUUCUCAAUUGAACUUUCCUAUACAUAGUUGGGUAUUUCCAGAAAAGUAUUUUCAAGAGAUCAGAAGAAUAACAAGGAAACUGAGGAAGAAGAAAGGGAAAAAAAAAAUAAUGGUUAUUUUUUUCCUUUGACCUUUUCAGUUUUCCUUUUAUCUUCUCUCCUUUUUUCCAAAAAAAUAAUAAUGGUAUCAGACGGUGGUGGCGAUGGUGGAGUAGUUCCUAUACCUUCCCACGCCGGUUUAUGUCCGCCUCAUGAUGAUGAUCAUCCUGAUUUUUCACCGGUUGGAUCGCCGGAGUCUCAGCCGUCUGAUCAACUCACCGCUACUGUACUCACCGAUGAUCUUCGUAAUAAGAUCGUGAAGCAGGUUCCUUUUUUUGUUUUUUGUCGUGUGGGUUUUGUUUGAUUGUGUUUUUAGUUAAUGGGGUUUUUUGUUCUUGGUGAUUUAUUGAGUUUUAGGGUUUAAGCUAAAGAGUUCAAGGUUUUUGAGUGAAGUUUAGUUAGUGGUGUGCAAUUGGAUUGGAUGUGCAGUAUGCUUUUGAAAUUUCUGAAGAAUUUUGCCUAUUGUAGAUAGUGAAAAUUUUCAAUUGGAUUGAUGUGGUAGUUUCUGUAUGUGGAUUGGGUGCAAUUUUAGUAGUUGCUCAGGUGUUUUGUUAAGUUAGGGUUCUUGAUUAGCUGAUUAAUAUUUUAAAGUUAGACAGGUAGAAAGUGUGGAGGUAUAAUAAAUGGGAAUUGCUUCAUAUGUUUUAAGACCUCCCCAUUUGAUUGUGGUAGACAAAAUCGGUUUUUUAUUUUGUUUCUUUAACAUUGGAUGUCCCUAUCGAGUUCUUCCUAUGGUUCUUAGCUAUAUGAGAUGUCCCUUUCGAGUUCUUCCCGUGGUUCUUAAUUAUAUGAAUAGAACUUGAGAAAAAGAUUGAAAUUUUCUAACUUGUUUGGGAUAGUAUAGGUUUGUUCAUUUAUUGUAGUAGUUCUUGCAAAGAAACUUUAAUUAUAGCCUUGAAAAGAUCUUCUGCAUCUAUCAGAAUGGCAAAUGCAUGAUUUUCACUGUCUUGCAGAUACCUUUCCUUAAGUAAGUUGUACAGAGUACAGACUUAGUUAAUGAGCAUUUGUUUCGCACAUAUAUACAUCGGUAUCCUCAUAACACCAAUUUGGUACGUACAACCUUCAGAUAUUAGAGUUUAGCUUCGAGAACUCUAGACUUUUACUAGUCCUUGGUAGCUGUAGAUUUGCUGCUCGUAGUGUCUAAAUACAACAUCAACAACAUAACGAGUGAGAUCCCACAAGUGGGUUUUGGGGGUGGGGG